rnacentral:rRNA from 1 species
CAGUCAUGUCUAGCGAGGAAUCAACUUGGUGGUGUGAGUCUCUCAUCUCCUCCGUGUGCACUUCCUCGUCUGGCAGGUUAAGCAUCAAUUUUGAUUGUCAUCAAAUAAUUGGGGUAAUGUGGCUUCCCUUCGGUGGAGUGUUAUAGACCCUGGUGGAUGUGGCGAUUGGGAUUUGAGGAUUGACAGCGGAUGCCUCUUAGGCUAGUCAACCUGAUUCCUG